UAGUGAAUUAUUGUAUUUUGGAAAUUAGUGUUAGAGUUCAGUUUUUAAUGUGUGAUUUUGAGCAUGAAAUUAACUGUUUUACCAAUCGUGUGUUGUAGAUGUGUUGGUGCCUUAAGAGUUUAGGGAAAGUUGUUAAAAGUAUUGAAAAAAUUGUCAUAGCGAUCGUAAAAAAAGCUGUAAUAUGGAACUGAGUCACUAUGAGCUGGUCCUCCUCCAACAGGAACUAGAGUCCAAUCCUAAUCAGGACCCUCUACAGUUAGAGGAGGUGGAGACCACUCUCAGCUAUCAUUUGGUGCCACAGUGGAGAGAACAAACUUCUGACGUCUAAAUUCCUGAUUCAGAUAUAUUAGUAUGCAUGAAUUUAAGUUACAAAAUGUUGAAGGUUUCCCCAGAAUGAAGCCUGUGUGUGUGUGUGUGUGUGUGUGUGUGUGUGUGUGUGUGUGUGUGUGUGUGUGUGUGUGUGUGUGUGUGUGUGUGUGUGUGAGACACAACACAACUCUAAUGUUUCUGCUCAAAGGUUCAAGGUUCGUCUUUAUUGUCAUUAUACAACACAGUUGUCCAAUGAAAUGUGAUCAUCAUUUACAGCUGCUCUGAUCAAGAUAAGAUACCAGCCGGCUGUUGUAGGUUUCCACAGAAUGAAGCCGUAGCUCGACGCUCUUCUCAAUCUCCUCUAAAAAUCCAGGGAACAGCUCACCUGUGAAAGAGAUUUCUCUCCAAGCUGAGAGUGACCCCCUUCUUUAUCAACUUUUCUUCAUCAACUCUUUGGACUGUUUGAAGAAACUGACCCAUCAGAGACCAGACCCUGCUGAACCUGAACCUGAACCCAGCUGUGUGUCCAUGAAGAGUAUCUGGUCCAUGGAGCCACCACUACUUUAAGAAAAGACCUGUAAGGGAGAGGAGAAUAGAAAUGGAGGAGAGGCUACGUGAAAUGGAGGAGAGAGGAUUGAUGGAGAGACUUGAAUGGCAGAAGGAGAGAAUAACAAUGGAAAGGGAAAUUGAAAUGUUAAGAAGAAGAUUGAGGAUCCAUCAAAGACCAGACUCUGCUGGACCUGAACCCAGC